GCAAACUUGGUCAUUUAGAGGAAGUAAAAGUCGUAACAAGGUUUCCGUAGGUGAACCUGCGGAAGGAUCAUUAACGAGUUAGGGUCUUCUAGGCCCGACCUCCCAACCCUUUGCUUACUUGACCAUUGUUGCUUCGGCGAGCCCGUCCUUCUCGGACCGCCGGGGGACCGUUUCCUGGUCCUCUGGCCCGCGCUCGCCGGUGGCCCAACCGUUAAAAUUCUUAACUAAACGUGUCUUACUGAGUACAAAUUUUAAAUAAAAGCAAAACUUUCAACAACGGAUCUCUUGGUUCUGGCAUCGAUGAAGAACGCAGC
rnacentral:misc_RNA from 1 species